rnacentral:rRNA from 1 species
CACGCCCUAAACGAUGUCAACUAGGUGUUGGGUGGGUAAAACCAUUUAGUACCGGAGCUAACGCGUGAAGUUGACCGCCUGGGGAGUACGGCCGCAAGGUUAAAACUCAAAGGAAUUGACGGGGACCCGCACAAGCGGUGGAUGAUGUGGAUUAAUUCGAUGCAACGCGAAAAACCUUACCUACCCUUGACAUGUUCAGAAUCCCGGAGAGAUUUGGGAGUGCCCGAAAGGGAGCUGGAACACAGGUGC